rnacentral:tRNA from 1 species
GGGGAUGUAGCUCAGCGGGUAGAGCGCUUGCUUCGCAUGCAAGAGGGCGGGGGUUCGAAUCCCCCCAUCUCCACCA